UCCAGCUAAAAAAAAACAGAAAAGAAUGAGUGUCUCAAUUCGAUGUCAAAUAUGUUUUCUUUAUAAUUUUACUUUCCCUUUCCGGAAAAAAAUUUAAAAAAAUUGUUUAUAACACAUCAGAACCAGGUAAAGGUUUUACGGAGAGGUUUAAUUUAAAAUAAAAUAAAAAUGCGAGGUCCUGAAUAGUUUCCUUUCUUUCCUCCUAAGCGUCCGAGGCUUCACUCCCUAAGUCCCAGGCGGCCAAGCCUAGUUUGCAAUCACCGGCGAUCGAUCUCCAACAAUGUUAAAUCACCGGCAGAUGAAGUUGAGGCAUCCUGUAAAGCGUCAGUAAACAGAUGGAUCUUGAAUCCAAAAUGUUUGAAAACGGAUAAGAUGCUUAGAUAUCUGAGGCCUUGGGCCAAGAGAACCUGGUGGUGCUGUUGAUCCCAUAACUUAUUACAAGCUUUGGUCUCAUUUUCACUUUUUUUUGCAAGAGCUCACUCCCUCUCACUGUAUCUGAGAGUCACCAUCUCAGUGACGUCCAAAAAGGGGAAGGCAUGGAGUUGGAUCAGCUUCUUCAAAAUGCCUCCCGUUUGAGACAAAGAAAUGCAUGUAUAUACCCUUUUGAUUUGGAUCUACUGAGGGAUGCUUUUCAUAUGAGGGAGACAACUCCUGUUUACCAGCCUUUUGCUGAGAAGGGCAUCCCCACUGCAACAAUAGAGUUAAAAAGUGACUAAAGACAGAGAGAAGGGGCAUAGAAAACACAAAGACCAGCACAAUUAGAAGGAUCGUAAGAAGAAGACAUUGUCACACUGUCACAAGGGCAAGAGCAGUGUUAAGGGUAAGAAUAUAAAUGAUGCUUAUGGGUUUAGCCUCGAGGACUUGGAGAAACAGCAGGAGAUGGUUUGCACACCAUCUUUUCUUAUUGCCCUCUGUUGAUUGCACGUCCUAAAUUUUGUUGCCAUAUGUUGAUUGCAUGAUUACGGUUUUUCUUUUUUCUUUUUUACUUUUUUAUGAAAGCAUUUUUAAUAUGCUAACAACUUGCCGGAUGACUAUUAACUGGGAUGCCCAUUUGAGUGUUGUAUUCUU